rnacentral:rRNA from 1 species
GAUGAACGCUGGCGGCGUGCCUAAUACAUGCAAGUCGAGCGAACAGACGAGGAGCUUGCUCCUCUGACGUUAGCGGCGGACGGGUGAGUAACACGUGGAUAACCUACCUAUAAGACUGGGAUAACUUCGGGAAACCGGAGCUAAUACCGGAUAAUAUAUUGAACCGCAUGGUUCAAUAGUGAAAGACGGUUUUGCUGUCACUUAUAGAUGGAUCCGCGCCGCAUUAGCUAGUUGGUAAGGUAACGGCUUACGAAGGCAACGAUGCGUAGCCGACCUGAGAGGAGGAUCGGCCACACUGGAACUGGGAGACGGUCCAGACUCCUACGGGAGGAAGCAGUAGGGAAUCUUCCGCAAUGGGCGAAAGCCUGACGGAGCAACGCCGCGUGAGUGAUGAAGGUCUUCGGAGCGUAAAACUCUGUUAUUAGGGAAGAACAAAUGUGUAAGUAACUAUGCACGUCUUGACGGUACCUAAUCAGAAAGCCACGGCUAACUACGUG